AUUGAACGCUGGCGGCAUGCUUUACACAUGCAAGUCGAACGGUAACAGGGUGCUUGCACCGCUGACGAGUGGCGAACGGGUGAGUAAUGCGUCGGAACGUGCCGAGUAGUGGGGGAUAACGCAUCGAAAGGUGUGCUAAUACCGCAUACGUACUGAGGUAGAAAGUGGGGGACCUUCGGGCCUCACGCUAUUCGAGCGGCCGACGUCUUAUUAGCUAGUUGGUGAGGUAAAGGCUCACCAAGGCGACGAUCAGUAGCGGGUCUGAGAGGAUGAUCCGCCACACUGGGACUGAGACACGGCCCAGACUCCUACGGGAGGCAGCAGUGGGGAAUUUUGGACAAUGGGCGCAAGCCUGAUUCAGCCAUGCCGCGUGUCUGAAGAAGGCCUUCGGGUUGUAAAGGACUUUUGUCCGGGAGCAAAUACCCAGUGCUAAUAACGCUGGGGGCUGAGAGUACCGGAAGAAUAAGCACCGGCUAACUACGUGCCAGCCGCCGCGGUAA
rnacentral:rRNA from 1 species